GGGUUACUAACAUUUUACUAUCUUUAAAUUUUCGAUUUAACGUAUCAUAUCUUGUUGAGAAUAAUAUUUCUACGUUUAUAAGUAACAAAUGUUAAGGGCUAGAUUGUUGGUGCUGUAAUUUUUUUUUUUUGCUUUAGAAAUUAGGCUGUGAUUUUUAUAGCUAUAGAUUUUUUUUUAUGUUGUAGAUUUAUUUCUGAAGAAAUCCAAAACACUUUUUUCAAAAAAAUAACAUCCAAAGCACUAAAUAAAUAAACGUUGUAGAAAACUCGAUUUUUAAAGCCAAUAUAUUUAUUUUUCUAAUUUUUUUGAUAUAGAUUUAAUUUUAAAACUAAAGCAUCAUGCUUUAUAAAAUAAAUUAGAAAAAAUGUGUCAUCAACUUAAAUUUUAAGUUCAUAGUGAUUCCGUAAACCACAUGGAUAGUUUCCAAUUCAUGUGAAUAACAAAAAAUGAUUGUUUCAUAACACUCAAAUCACUUACCAA
rnacentral:lncRNA from 1 species